UAAGGAAUAUUGGUCAAUGGGGGCAACCCUGAACCAGCUAUGCCGCGUGCAGGAAGACGGCCCUCCGGGUUGUAAACUGCUUUUGUACGGGAAGAAACCCUUUUACGUGUAAGAGGUUGACGGUACCGUAAGAAUAAGGAUCGGCUAACUCCGUGCCAGCAGCCGCGGUAAUACGGAGGAUCCAAGCGUUAUCCGGAUUUAUUGGGUUUAAAGGGUGCGUAGGCGGCUUAGUAAGUCAGUGGUGAAAGCCCGAUGCUUAACAUCGGAACUGCCAUUGAUACUGCUGAGCUUGAAUAUGGUUGAGGUUGGCGGAAUGUGUCAUGUAGCGGUGAAAUGCUUAGAUAUGACACAGAACACCGAUUGCGAAGGCAGCCGGCUAAGCCAUUAUUGACGCUGAGGCACUAAAGCGUGGGGAGCAAACAGGAUUAGAUACCCCUGUAGUCC
rnacentral:rRNA from 1 species